AGUUCGGUGCCUGAUUAAAAGGGUUAUCUUGAUAGGGUAAAUAAUGCAAUCUAAUUGCUCGAACUA
rnacentral:tRNA from 1 species